rnacentral:rRNA from 1 species
GACGAACGCUGGCGGCGUGCUUAACACAUGCAAGUCGAACGGAAAGGCCCUGCUUUGCAGGGGUGCUCGAGUGGCGAACGGGUGAGUAACACGUGAGUAACCUGCCCUGGACUUUGGGAUAACUUCAGGAAACUGGGGCUAAUACCGGAUAGGAGCUCCUGCUGCAUGGUGGGGGUGGGAGAGUUUCGGCGGUUGGGGAUGGACUCGCGGCUUAUCAGCUUGGUGGUGGGGUAGUGGCUUACCAAGGCGUUGACGGGUAGCCGGCCUGAGAGGGUGACCGGCCACAUUGGGACUGAGAUACGGCCCAGACUCCUACGGGAGGCAGCAGUGGGGAAUAUUGCACAAUGGGCGGAAGCCUGAUGCAGCAACGCCGCGUGCGGGAUGACGGCCUUCGGGUUGUAAACCGCUUUCGCUUGUGACGAAGCGUGAGUGACGGUAAUGGGUGAAGAAGCACCGGCUAACUACGUG